CACUAUUCAGGGAUUUUGCCAUGCCUUGGGGCUGUGCUUCAGGGCAUAAUGGGAGGACUUUGGUUGUUCAUUCUCUGCCUUGUCAGCUCAAAGCUGCCUCCUUGGGGGAACAUUUGUGCUUUUUGUUUCCUUUUCUGUGUUUGCUUGCACAGAUGACAGAUAGGGAAUUGUUCUAUAGUCACUCAUGCCAAGUUCCUCCUCUCAGCUCCUCAGGCUCCCAUCUCUGGACCGUCAGCUGGCACUCACUGACUGAAAUGAGCCUGUAGCCCAAGAACUCUUGGAAAUGAUGGAUCCCAUCUCCUUCCCAACCAACUCAAAUGUUGAUCUGAGUGUGAUUUCUAGCAUCUGUUCUCUCAGGAUUCAGGUGUUCAUAGAAGACAGAAGCAUCCAGUUCCUUGGAGAUAGCAUUACAG